UACGUAGGGUCCGAGCGUUGUCCGGAAUUACUGGGCGUAAAGAGCUCGUAGGUGGUUUGUCGCGUUGUCCGUGAAAACUCACAGCUUAACUGUGGGCGUGCGGGCGAUACGGGCAGACUGGAGUACUGCAGGGGAGACUGGAAUUCCUGGUGUAGCGGUGGAAUGCGCAGAUAUCAGGAGGAACACCGGUGGCGAAGGCGGGUCUCUGGGCAGUAACUGACGCUGAGGAGCGAAAGCGUGGGGAGCGAACAGGAUUAGAAACCCCAGUAGUCC
rnacentral:rRNA from 1 species